GUUUAUAUAGGGAUAAUUUAAUUAAUGUAUUGUCUUUACAUCUAGGUGAACAGCUUUCUCUCCAGGGCAGCUCUUAUCACAAAAUACAUGACAAAAGCAGGGAGAGAAAAUAUGCUGACGCAACAGGCCAUGGGUUGGAACAGAAAAAAGACAGAGAACCUCCACAAAGCUUUGGCCCAGAGAUACGUCACAUUCUCAGAGAGGGCAAAACUGGAAGCUGCCAGCCUCAGUGACUUUCAGCAAAAGCAAAACCUCACUCAGCAAACAAUAGAGCAGUGGGUGUUUGAUGUCCAGCAAUGGGCAGUCACAGAUCGAGUCUACACACAAGGGUGUACAGAGGACCUCAGGGCAGAAAUAGAGACCAUCACAGUAACCCUCCUACGCAAGAAGCAGGACCUCUAUCGUCAGCAUGAUAGCAACCAGACAAGACACAGCAAGCGAAGAAAACUUAGAGAUUUAAAAAAAAAACUAAGAGAUAAGGUCUUGCAGUACAACGCAUCUGAAGAAGAUGAAAUUGAUGAGGACUUGGCCUGCAAUUUGACGGAGGGCUACAUCCUGCCAUGGGAGAGAAGUGAAGAUGGCCACUCAUUCAGAUUGAAAAGGUCACUCUUUGACCGAAUUAUGCUUAAACGGUAUGAGGAGGAGCAGAGCAUCCUCAUCAAAGAAAUUACACAGCACAUCAUGUCAUUAAGGAAGGAGAUAAAGGGAGUGGAGAAACUCAAAGACAACAUUGGGAUGUUCGGUAUGUUGAAU
rnacentral:lncRNA from 1 species